UACUAAUGGAAAAUGAUAAUCAAAUGAGACUAUAGUAAAGUGAUAGUUUUGAGUUCAAAUGUGGAUAUUUCUUCGUAAGUUGCAGUUAGUUGCAGAAAUUAUUAUCAUCAUUCUUUUUCUCUAUAACUUCCUCAGUCAUCAGCGUUCUUUUUCUGGUAAGCUGUUGUGGCCUCUAUAAUUUGAAAUCAGUGUUGAUUUCACAUUCCCAAAAUUAGAUUUUGUUGCAGUUACAAAACAAUAUUUUCAAAAAGAAGGAAACGAGUGGGAUCUGUAACUUGGAAGCUGCUAGCAGUUGCCCUCCAAAUGGCAUCACUUUAAAAGCAGCUCCAAGUAGCUGGAAGUAUGUACUUGUAAGCAAAUGUUCCUACGUAUACUAUUUGAAUGGAAACCUUAAAGGGACAAGGCCAAUUUAGUUACUUAUUGCAACAGCUGUGCUAUAAAAUGUAAUCCAAUUUAAGAGAAAGAAAUGGGAAAAGAAAGCCUUCCAUGCCCUUAGAAAGUCCAAAGUGCUCCAUCGUAACUAAUUCGUUUGACAGUUUAGAUGCAUCAUUGCCGUUCAGUGGAAGGGGAAAUUUAAUACACAGUUAUGCGACACAAGUGCUGCUGUAUUCUUAUGACUUAAUGACAUUUUGGUGAGAGUUAAGUCAUCCAGGUAUAUAUUUAUGAAGCAAGUAAGGAGGCUUCAGUAGCUCAGCUUUGUUCGUGACAGUCUUGUUUUUCACUUUAGACAAUGAUUAUAAAUACUAAAACAGUCUGAUUUUCCAUCUCACUUUCAAAACAAAAUCUGAAACCUUGGGUAUUUACAAAAAGAAUAAAACCAAGAGGUUUCACCGUUUAAAAACAUAAGAAUUCUUAUUAUACAAGAGUCAGACAAAGCAAACACUAAAUACUAUCUUCGCUAACAAUCGAUGACUGUACAACGAAGAAUAGCCAUAAUUGUAAAUUAUACAUUCGUCAGCAGAUAUAAUCAAGAUAAAUCUUAUGACUUGACUUCCUUAAGAAGUAACCCCCCUUUUUCAUAGAAUCCUAGAAUCCCUGCAGUGUGAAAGCAGACCAUUCGGCCAUCGAGUCCUCACCAACCCUCUGAAGAUCCAGAUGAAUCAGCAAUAGACUUAACCUGUUACAUACCUAGCAGCAUGCAAGAUUUUAAAUGUACUUUCUUACCUUCCUGUUACAGUGCCAUCGAAUUCAUCGCACUUUAGCAAGCCAGUUCAAAUAUGCACUUGUAUGGGGAACAAGUACAAAGUAUAGUCCUCAACGAGUGGGCCUGACUCACAUAAUGGAACACGAGGACGUAAUCCAAAUUGUCAAGAAGUAAAUAGUGAUCCAUGUUGCGCAAUGAGCUGCAGUAUAUCACCAACCUUCCCUUUCGCUUGCACAACAGGCAAUGUGAAAAUGGACUACUUAAAAAUUGUAAUGAAAACAUUGUGUUAAACUGCCAAUAGAAAUGGUUUGCUAUGGCAGCCCUUUCAUAUCAAAUAUACAGUGAUUCUGGUAUUCUGAUAAUUGACUGUUAAAACGAAAGCAUGUGCCGGCUAUAAAGGCCUAUACUAUACUUCAUGGCUCGUACUCAAAUCGUAGCACCCCUUUACUUGCAACACCUAUUAGUUUAUUACUGUAAUAUUUCUGUAUUGCAGAAGACUGACAGUAUUUCCAUUAUUAAUCUACUGAAAAAUAUCCAGCUAAUGUGCGAUCUACAAUAAUUCAAAUUUUUAUAUGUUCGAAUGAAGAUGAGAUCCAGUUGUUUGGGCAACAGCUUUAAUCAGGUGCUUUAGUUAAUUUGGUAUUCUCUUUCCUCAUAAUUACAGAUCAGAGCUUACAUCUUCCUAUACCAAUACGAAAACAAAAAAGCGUUUGUCCAGUUGGUCCCUUUUUUGUUUCUUUUUGUACUUUUUCCCCCCUCCAUAGUUUACAUAAAAAGAGGUGCAAUCCUUAAUUUUCUUUUUUCCUGUAAGUUGUUGACACUGGCACUUUGGUACUUAAGACAUUCAUUGUGAGAUGAGGGAAUGAAUAUCAGCGUGAUGUUCGACCAAUGGAGGAUUUCAUUGCCAAGUCUAUACCAUAUCCUUGCAAGAGACAUAGCUGCACUUUUCCAGGAAAUCUCGGGAUAAUAAGCAACAUGGUUUGCGUGCCACUCAGUUGGUGCGCUGGCAUCAAUUUAAAAGCUGCAUGAGCUUGACAGCUGAUCAAAGGAGAAAAAGUAAGAGCUGGGCUCAGAGUUUGUGGUUCUUUCUAUCACAGCUUUUCUUUUGAAUGGCAUCACUAUAAGUGCACAACAGCAAUUGACACUAAAUAGGUUGAUUAAACUUAUGGUUCUCUUAAUUAUUUGAUAAGUUUGAAAACAUUCUAAUUCUGUAUGGAUCAAUAUAUUGGGCUUGCUGUGGAACUUCGAGAAUUCUAUUGUCAGAAGGUUGUUGAAUUCACAAGUAUUCAGAAAAUUGAUGAUCCAGGAGAUUGAGCCACAUUUUGAAGAAAAACUAACAGAAAUAAACGUGUUCACCGGAGAGAAGAUUGAGAAGAGAUUUCACGCAAAUCAGAAGCAUAGAUAAUGUUGAUGUGAGUUGGAUAUUUAACAUUGACUUUGAAUAUACAACCAGAGGACUUCUGUUCAGAAUCAGCAUACUCCAAGUAUGGUUUAAGCAGUCGAGUUGAUCGUCUUGCAAAAACAAAUCAGUAAAUGUUGUUAGGAAUGAGAUGAAGUAUUAAAGGUUUGGAGAUGUAAGUAAACCAGAAUGUUACAAAGUUGGAAUUGCUUGUUUCUGUGAUUAAAAGGUAGACUGUCA